rnacentral:rRNA from 1 species
UAGAGUUUGAUCCUGGCUCAGAUCGAACGCUGGCGGCAUGCCUUACACAUGCAAGUCGAACGGCAGCACGGGAGCAAUCCUGGUGGCGAGUGGCGAACGGGUGAGUAAUACAUCGGAACGUGCCCUGGUAGUGGGGGAUAACUAGUCGAAAGACUAGCUAAUACCGCAUACGACCUGAGGGUGAAAGUGGGGGACCGCAAGGCCUCAUGCUAUAGGAGCGGCCGAUGUCUGAUUAGCUAGUUGGUGGGGUAAAGGCCUACCAAGGCGACGAUCAGUAGCUGGUCUGAGAGGACGAUCAGCCACACUGGGACUGAGACACGGCCCACACUCCUACGGGAGGCAGCAGUGGGGAAUUUNGGACAAUGGGGGCAACCCUGCAUCCAGCAAUGCCGCGUGUGUGAAGAAGGCCUUCGGGUUGUAAAGCACUUUCGUCCGGGAAGAAAUCGCACCUGAUAAUACCGGGUGUGGAUGACGGUACCGGAAGAAUAAGGACCGGCUAACUACGUGCCAGCAGCCGCGGUAAUACGUAGGGUCCAAGCGUNAAUCGGAAUUACUGGGCGUAAAGCGUGCGCAGGCGGUUGUGCAACACCGAUAUGA